rnacentral:rRNA from 1 species
UAAGUAUAUGAGGUGAUUAAUUGGAGGGCAAAUCAAGUGCCAGCAGCCGCGGUAAUACUUGUUCCAAGAGUGUGUAUGAUGAUUGAUGCAGUUAAAAAGUCCGUAGUUUAUUUUUUUAAAACAAAGGGUAGAAUUGGGAAAAGAAGGACACCCA